rnacentral:rRNA from 1 species
UGGGGAAUCUUGCUCAAUGGGCGAAAGCCUGAAGCAGCGACGCCGCGUGUGGGAAGAAGGUCUUCGGAUUGUAAACCACUUUCAGGAGGGAAGAAGCGCAAGUGACGGUACCUCCAAAAGAAGGCCCGGCCAACUACGUGCCAGCAGCCGCGGUAAUACGUAGGGGCCUAGCGUUGUCCGGAAUUAUUGGGCGUAAAGAGCUCGUAGGCGGCCCACCAAGUCGGAUGUGAAAUCUCAAGGCUCAACCUUGAAAUUGCAUCCGAUACUGAUGGGCUUGAGGCAGGUAGGGGAAGGUGGAAUUCCUGGUGUAGCGGUGAAAUGCGCAGAUAUCAGGAGGAACACCGGUGGCGAAGGCGGCCUUCUGGGCCUGUACUGACGCUGAGAGACGAAAGCUAAGGGAGCGAAUGGGAUUAGAUACCCCCGUAGUCC